rnacentral:rRNA from 1 species
UACGUAGGGCGCAAGCGUUGUCCGGAAUUAUUGGGCGUAAAGAGCUCGUAGGCGGUUUGUCGCGUCUGUCGUGAAAGCUUGGGGCUUAACCCCAAGUCUGCGGUGGAUACGGGCAGACUAGAGGCAGGUAGGGGAGAACGGAAUUCCCGGUGUAGCGGUGAAAUGCGCAGAUAUCGGGAGGAACACCGGUGGCGAAGGCGGUUCUCGGGGCCGUAACUGACGCUGAGGAGCGAAAGCGUGGGGAGCGAACAGG